AUUGAACGCUGGCGGCAGGCUUAACACAUGCAAGUCGAACGGUAACAGGAAGAAAGCUUGCUUUCUUUGCUGACGAGUGGCGGACGGGUGAGUAAUGCUUGGGAAUCUGUUUUAUGGAGGGGGAUAACUACGGGAAACUGUAGCUAAUACCGCGUAAUAUCGAGAGAUUAAAUGUGUGGGACCGCAAGGCCACAUGCCAUGAAGUGAGCCCAAGUGGGAUUAGAUAGUUGGUGAGGUAAUGGCUCACCAAGUCGGCGAUCUCUAGCUGGUCUGAGAGGAUGACCAGCCACACUGGGACUGAGACACGGCCCAGACUCCUACGGGAGGCAGCAGUGGGGAAUAUUGCACAAUGGGCGCAAGCCUGAUGCAGCCAUGCCGCGUGAAUGAAGAAGGCCUUCGGGUUGUAAAGUUCUUUCGGUGGUGAGGAAGGUUGACGUGUUAAUAGCACGUUGAUUUGACGUUAGCCACAGAAGAAGCACCGGCUAACUCCGUGCCAGCAGCCGCGGUAAUACGGAGGGUGCGAGCGUUAAUCGGAAUAACUGGGCGUAAAGGGCACGCAGGCGGUGACUUAAGUGAGGUGUGAAAGCCCUGGGCUUAACCUAGGAAUUGCAUUUCAUACUGGGUCGCUAGAGUAUUUUAGGGAGGGGUAGAAUUCCACGUGUAGCGGUGAAAUGCGUAGAGAUGUGGAGGAAUACCGAAGGCGAAGGCAGCCCCUUGGGAAUAUACUGACGCUCAUGUGCGAAAGCGUGGGGAGCAAACAGG
rnacentral:rRNA from 1 species